CCCUUAGAUGUCCUGGGCCGCACGCGUGCUACACUGACGCCUACAGCGAGUACUUCCCAGCCCCGAGAGGCGGCUGGUAAUCAGCAAUAGGCGUCGUGAUGGGGAUAGAUCUUUGGAAUUCUGGAUCUUGAACGAGGAAUGCCUAGUAAGCGCAGGUCAUUAGCCUGCGCUGAUUACGUCCCUGCCCUUUGUACACACCGCCCGUCGCUCCUACCGAUUUCGAGUGGUCCGGUGAAUCUUUCGGACUGCGCGCAGCUUCGUGCCGUGUCGCGGAAAGUCAGGUAAACCUAAUCACUUAGAGGAAGGACAAGUCGUAACA
rnacentral:rRNA from 1 species